AGUGAACGCUGGCGGUAGGCCUAACACAUGCAAGUCGAACGGCAGCACAGUAAGAGCUUGCUCUUACGGGUGGCGAGUGGCGGACGGGUGAGGAAUACAUCGGAAUCUACUUUUUCGUGGGGGAUAACGUAGGGAAACUUACGCUAAUACCGCAUACGACCUACGGGUGAAAGCAGGGGAUCUUCGGACCUUGCGCGAUUGAAUGAGCCGAUGUCGGAUUAGCUAGUUGGCGGGGUAAAGGCCCACCAAGGCGACGAUCCGUAGCUGGUCUGAGAGGAUGAUCAGACACACUGGAACUGAGACACGGUCCAGACUCCUACGGGAGGCAGCAGUGGGGAAUAUUGGACAAUGGGCGAAAGCCUGAUCCAGCCAUACCGCGUGGGUGAAGAAGGCCUUCGGGUUGUAAAGCCCUUUUGUUGGGAAAGAAAAGCAGCAGGUUAAUACCCCGCUGUUAUGACGGUACCCAAAGAAUAAGCACCGGCUAACUUCGUG
rnacentral:rRNA from 1 species